UCGAUCCAUUGUAAGAAACAAAAAAGGAAUACGUAAUUAGGUACAGCGUUGUCUCUCCAAAGCCCUCCUCCCCUCUUCACAAAACUCCUCGAUUCGGAGGGGGAUCGCCGCCACGCCACGCCGCCACCCUGCUCUCUGUCUCCUCCGAUCCGCGGAUCGCCGCCACCACACCUGGAUUCUCCGUCUCCUCUGAUUUUGACGAUUGCCCGCGCCAAUCGUACAGAUCCCGGGCGUAGCUCCGCCCUCUCUCCCCGAUCUUCACCCUCUCCUCCCACCGCACCUCAUUCCUUGAUCUCCACGUCUCUUCUGGGUUCCUCCGUCAUCGCCACCGUUCUCCAGGGCUCCCUGGGGAUCCAUUCAAAGAUAGAUCGCCGAGGUACAAAGUUGUAUAUCACAAAGUUGCGGAUUGAUUCCUCAUAUUUAUUUGGUGUUGGCGACAAACCAGAGGCAAAUGAUAUUUAGUGACACUGCAGUACUUCAUCCACUGUCUGCUAAAACAAGUUCUAUUAUAUCACUCCUGAAAGGGAAGACGGCAUGCGGCUUUCCUUGUCUCUGCAAGAUCUAAAAUCAUUCUCUAAAUUAAAUUCAGGAGGGGUGGAUGACCUUGUAAAUGAUAGGAGUUAUGGACGUGCAAAACCUCUUCGUGCUCUUCAAAGGGAAGGUGCUGCAUCAAGCUUUUCGAAGGAGAAAUCCUCUCCGUCAACACCAACCAAACGGAAGAUAUGGGUACGAGCAACAAUAUUUGUCAUUACAGUUCUAUUAUUGUUCUCAUUGAUCUUACUAUUCUCAAGAUUCUUUCGUACUUAUUGGUCACGUGAGGCAUCUGAGUAUACCGUUGUACUCGAUUGUGGUAGUACUGGGACACGGGUUUAUGUGUACAAGUGGGCUGUUGAUCAAAAUGAAGGCACUAGAAAUUUUCCUAUUGCAUUAAGGUCUUUACCUGAAGGUCCUCAGAGAACUCCUGCAACACAAAGUGGUCGUGCAUAUCAUCGUAUGGAAACGGAGCCUGGUUUUCAUAAACUUGUUCAUAACGAAUCUGGUUUAAGGGCUGCUUUGCAGCCACUGCUUCAGUGGGCUGAGACGCAAAUACCAAAACAUGCUCACAAAGGUACAUCUCUAUUUCUGUAUGCUACAGCAGGAGUUCGAAGGUUACCCAGUUCUGAUUCAGAGUGGCUGCUGGAGAAGGCAUGGACCAUUCUGAAGAAUUCAUCAUUUUUAUGCAGGAGAGACUGGGUUAAGAUUAUAUCUGGCAUGGAGGAAGCAUAUUAUGGGUGGAUAGCUCUUAACUAUCGUAUGGGUUUCCUGGGUUCUUUAUCAGUUGGAAAAACAUAUGGUUCACUUGAUCUGGGUGGUUCAUCAUUGCAAGUUACUUUUGAAACAGAAACGCCCACACAAGAUGACACAGGCAUAGAAUUGAGAAUUGCAUCUGCUAGUCACCAUCUUAGUGCUUAUUCUUUAUCAGGAUAUGGAUUGAACGAUGCAUUUGACAAAUCUGUGGCUCAUCUUUUCAGAAAGAUCGUGGGUACGACAGAUAAUAUUAAUAAUGACAAGUUACAGCUUAAACAUCCUUGCUUAAAUACUGGCUAUAGGGAGGAGUAUACAUGUUCUCGCUGUACUUCAGCUAGCUUAGAAGGAAGUCCUUUGAUUGGAGGGAAAACCAUGACCAAAGGUCUGACUGGAACAACUGUUGAACUGCUUGGUGCUCCUGAAUGGGAUAAAUGCAGUGCACUCGCAAAAUUAACAGUUAAUCUGUCUGCAUGGUCUAACCUUAGUUCUGGAGUUGACUGUGAACUUAAACCUUGUGCUCUCAGUGAUGGUUUGCCUCAUCCACAUGGGAAAUUCUAUGCCAUGUCAGGUUUCUAUGUGGUUUUUCGGUUUUUUAAUUUGUCUUCUGAGGCUUCACUUGAAGAUGUGCUAAAAAGGGGUCAGGAUUUUUGUGGAAAAACAUGGGAAGUUGCAAAGAAUAGUGUUGCUCCACAACCUUUCAUAGAACAAUAUUGCUUUAGAGCCCCUUAUGUUGCAUCCCUUUUGAGGGAUGGGUUGCACAUUAAAGAUAGCGAGGUUAUAAUUGGUUCUGGGAGUAUUACUUGGACCUUGGGGGUAGCCUUAUUGGAGGCUGGACAAACAUUGUCCAACAGAGUUCCACCACAGGGUUAUAAUAUAGUACAUGCGGACAUACAUCCGGCUAUUCCUCUAUUAUUGCUUUUGAUGUCAGUUGUAUUACUUUGUUGUGCACUAUCAUGUGCAGGCAACUGGAUUCCAAGAUUUUCCCGAAGAUCAUACCUCCCACUUUUCAGGCAUAACAGUGUCACAAACUCUGUUCUUAAUAUCCCUUCCCCUUUCAAAUUCCAGCGGUGGAGUCCUAUUAUUUCAGGUGAUGGAAGGAUAAAGACACCACUCAGUCCUACAAUUGGUGGUUCUGGGCAGCACCCAUUUAGCAUGCGACAUGAUUUGGGAGGCAGCAGCAUACAGCUUAGUGAAUCUUCUGUGCAUCCCUUGGUUGUUUCUCAUAGUUCUUCAUCUGGUAGUUUAGGCCAAAUGCAGUUUGGCAAUGGUGCGGGAACCUUUUGGCCACCUCACCGGGGUCAGGCAACACUUUCGAGCCGGAAAUCUCAGUCAAGAGAAGAUCUCGACUCUUCAUUGGCAGAAGCUCACAUGGUGAAGAUUUGACCUAGAGGUUGCACUGCAGACCUGGUUGGAUGAGAUUCACAAACCACAAAUAUUUAUGAUGUGGUGUGUGACAGUCUGACUCACAACUCUUGGUGCAUCAGUUAGUGACUUUCAGAAUCUAUAUGAUAAUAUGAAGUUUAAUUAAGUUGCUGAACAUUGCUCUGUUUGUCAACUGCCAAUUUUUCCCGGCAAACAGAAGUAGACGAGGUUUUGGCUAGCAGCUAAUGGAAAGAACUUUAUCACACUGCCGGCAAGAUGAAUUAAGAUUGCCCUACUCUCAUUUCAUUUCCUGUUGCAACCAUGUGAAGCCCCAUUGGCUUAGCAGUUAAACUAGUGAUACUGGAUACUAUGUGUCCAAGGAAUCUGUUAUAUAGAUCAUUCUAAUCAUUAAAGGAAUUCCAUGAUUUCUUUAAAUCUACCUUCGUUUCAAGCA